rnacentral:rRNA from 1 species
GACGUAGGUGGCGAACGUUAUCCGGAAUUAUUGGGCGUAAAGGGUGCGUAGGCGGCAUGAUAAGUUAUUGGCGGUAAAUCGAGGCUCAACCUCGUGGAAACUGAUAAUACUGUUUUGCUUGAGUACAGGAGAGGUUAACGGAACUCCAUGUGGAGCGGUAAAAUGUGUAGAUAUAUGGAAGAACACCAAUAACGGCGAAGGCAGUUAACUAUUCUGUUACUGACGUUGAGGCACGAAAGCGUGGGGAGCAAAAAGG